rnacentral:sRNA from 1 species
AGCAGCCGCGGUAAUUCCAGCUCCAAUAGCGUAUAUUAAAGUUGUUGCAGUUAAAAAGCUCGUAGUUGAAUUUCGGGGUCAGUAGGUUGGUCGUGCCACAGGUAUGAACUGGCCUCACUGAUUCCUCCUUCCUGAUGAACCGUAAUGCCAUUAAUUUGGUGUUGCGGGGAGACUGGACUGUUACUUUGAAAAAAUUAGAGUGUUUAAAGCAGGCUAACGCUUGAAUACAUUAGCAUGGAAUAAUGAAAUAGGACGUUCGGUCUUAUUUUGUUGGUUUCUAAGAUUGACGUAAUGAUUAAUAGGGAUAGUUGGGGGCAUUAGUAUUCAAUUGUCAGAGGUGAAAUUCUUGGAUUUAUUGAAGACUAACUACUGCGAAAGCAUUUGCCAAGGAUGUUUUCAUUAAUCAAGAACGAAAGUUAGGGGAUCGAAGACGAUCAGAUACCGUCGUAGUCUUAACCAUAAACUAUGCCGACUAGGGAUCGGAUGAUGUUAAUCUUUUAAUUGACUCAUUCGGCGCCUU